UCUCAUCCCUGGAAACCUAAAUUCCUGUCUCUGGAGUGAGCCACCUCCGCCUCCUCCACGAGCCCUCCUGGGCACUGCAGCCUCAUUCGCCUGGUCGCCGGUCGGGUCAGCACGGACACUGGCCAGCGGGGGAGCCAGCAGGGGAAAAGCUCUGCCUUUUUUCUCUGACAGCAACUUUACCGAGAUAUCAUCCACAGACCACAAGCUUCAUCCUUUACAAGGGAAUCAUUCAGUGGUUUUUAAUAUAUUCACAGGAUUGUGUAACCAUCAGCACCAUCUAAUUUUAGAACAUUUUCAUUACUCCAAAAAGAAACCCUGUCCCCAUGGGCAGUUACUUCCUGUUGAGGCUGUCCCAGCCCCUGACCACUCCUGUCUCCAUGCAUUUGCCUUUUCUGGACAUUCUGCGCGACUGCAAUCGAACGGGGUCUUUUGUGAUCGCCGUCUUUCACUCAGCAUCCCGUUUUCAGGGUUUGUUCAUGUUGUGCUGUGUGUCAGGACCUCAUUCCUUUUUAUUGCCAAGGAAUUUUCCAUUGUGUGCAUGGACCUUAUUUCGUUUACCCAUUUAUUGGUUGAGAGACACUUCGGUGGCUUCUACUUUUUGGGUGUUGCAAAUACUGCUGCUGUGAACACUGUGUACAAGUGUUUGUGCACAAAUAUCCUCGGUUCUGUUGCACACAUGCUUAGGAGAGGAACUGCUGGACUGUAUGGUGACUCUGUGCCUGCCCUGUUGAGGAACCUCCAGACUGCGGUCCACAGCAGCUGCGCCAUUUCACAUCCCCACCAGCCUGUAGCUUGUCAGCACCUGCCUUCGCCUGUUUCUUUGUACGACGGUCGUCCUGCUGCGUGUGAAGUGCUGUCUCCCUUCGGUUCUGAUCUGCGUUUCCCUCACGCCUGAUGAUACCCUCCAGUACACUGUUGAGCAGCAAUGGAGAGAGUGGGCACCCUCGUCUUGUUCCUGAUCUUGGGGGAAGCGCUCAGCCUUCCACCACUAAGGGUGGUGUCAGCUGUGGGCUUCCAUAGAUGCCCCUUAUCAGGGUCGUGGCACUGUCACUGUGACCUAGCAAAAUGAACAGCCCCUUUACGUCACCUGAUGCUCCAGGCCGCGUGCAGGUUUCCCGCGUUGUCUGAAAAACCCCUUUCUACAGAGGGCUCGUUUGAAUCGAC